rnacentral:lncRNA from 1 species
CCCAUCCUCACCCCCCAGAGCCUGUCCGAAACAGCAGGAGGAAGGGGGGAGCACCUGCGCCUGCAAAAAACCCCUCCAUUUUUGACGGUUCUGGCCUGGGUUCAUCGUGCCAUUUGAAGGUUUGCAUAUAAUUACUGUGGAGCAUGGAAUAGAUAAGGUCGACCACCAACCGUUUAAAGGAGACUGAUCCACGUUGUCUUAACGAUAUUAAUGGCUGGGAUACCAGAGCAGAUGGAAACCAACCAAGCUGCAGCUUUGAGCCAGACGGUGUGGGGAGGACACACAGUGAAGGACUUUGUCAGUGCGUUGAGAGGAUGUUCUAGACCCCACCCAACCGCACCCGCCAUUGCCACAGGUGAGCUGUGCCAGCUGCCACGUCCUCACUUCUUUCUUGGCGACUGAAGGACAUGGCGGCUCAGGCGUGGGAACCUGACCUGUGAGGGCUCACCUGACCAAACGGGCGCCUUAUUCCCACAUCCUCCUCCUAGCUCCCGUUGUCCCCCCAUCUUCAUCUAGAAAGAAGCUUCGAGUUUUACAUAAAUCGGGGCAGCCAACUGGCUCUUUGUUUCCUUGUCCCCUUCCCACCUCUGCCUUCCCGAAAGGUCCUAGUGGGGCACAUUAACUAAACAAAAGGCCAUCCGGUCCCUGGAAUCAAUUAUGUCACUCCCCAGGGGGACAGCAGCGUUGGAGACACAGACCAUUCCCCUCCACUCAAGCUUCCGAAAGGGUGGAAGGUAAGAACGCUUUCUCUUGCAUUUGAGGGUUAAGUACAGUCCCUAGUGGAGAGGGGAGUUCUUGAAUUAAAAUGGAGCACAAUUU